CAGCAUGUCCAGCCCCUCCCAUCCCAUCCCGCAUGCAGCUCUUGGGCCCGGAGCCAGCCCCCGCGCUCCAGCCCGGAGAAGGAGGGAGCUCUGCGCCCCGCUCCCCCGGGCCGGGGAGGGCACCGUGUCCCCCGGGGCCUGCGCAGAGCCGAGUGCUGCCUGAGCACACGGGGUGCCCGGCCCGGGUGGGAGAGCUUGUCGGGGUGGGGUGGGGAGGGAUCCGGCAAGGGUUAAGGAUCUACCCCGUUCCGGGCAGCUGGAGCAGAGGCUUUCUGCAGGGAGGCGAGGGGAACCCCGGGGGUGAAAGGGGAAGGGGACAUCCCAAACAGGCCAUCAGCGAGCACCGCAGUGAUGCCCUGCGCCGCUCUGCACAGGGGAGGUUAUUCCCGGUCCAGGUCGGCUCCCCGUUGAGCUGCCGUGUGCCUGGGCAGCGCUGGGCUCUGCCUCUCCCCGGUUCCUGCCCCGCUGGCAGCCAGCUCGCAGGCGCUGGGCUCCGUAACAGGGCUUACGAGCUUUACCGCAGAUCUGUCUCGUCCUGGGGACGUGUGGCGAGCAAAGCCUGCGGCCUCGGCACGUGCAUCUCCUCCUGCCCCCCUGGACCCGCUCAGCCUCGGGCCGACGCGGGGCAGAGGCUGCGCGCGGGGAAGGUGCCGCUGCGAGGUCCCGUCGGCGGAGGAGCCCCAGCCCCGGGUCGGGGUAGCAGCUGCCUUCGUGGGGGCGCGGGGCCGGCUGGGGGGCCGAGCCGGCCUGGGGGCUGCUGCGGGUGCAGGUGCGCGGCGGGGCCGUCCCCGUCCCGCUCGGCUGUGCCACGCUGGUGGUGCCCAGAACGGCGGCGGGGGCCUGCGCGGGCGAGCGGCGAUGAGCCCCACAUGCAGGAGCCCCGGGCCGGGGGUGCCGUGCCCCAACCCCAUGCGGGUCUCGGGCUGGUGCUGCGCCUCCAGCGUCCGCAGCAGGCGGAGGGAGGAAGGAGCAGCGGGUGUCUAGGAUGUGCUGCAGCCCCUGCUCCCCGGUGCCGGCACGGGGCUGAGGCAGCGGCGGGGCAGGUGCUGGCGGGACCCCCGUGCUGCCCGGCUCCCCGCGUGGGGCAGGGAGGAUCUGGGCAGCCCCGCGCCGCUGGGUCUGCNNNNNNNNNNNNNNNNNNNNNNNNNNNNNNNNNNNNNNNNNNNNNNNNNNNNNNNNNNN
rnacentral:lncRNA from 1 species